GAUGAACGCUGGCGGCGUGCCUAAUACAUGCAAGUCGAGCGAACAGACGAGGAGCUUGCUCCUCUGACGUUAGCGGCGGACGGGUGAGUAACACGUGGAUAACCUACCUAUAAGACUGGGAUAACUUCGGGAAACCGGAGCUAAUACCGGAUAAUAUAUUGAACCGCAUGGUUCAAUAGUGAAAGACGGUUUUGCUGUCACUUAUAGAUGGCUCCGCGCCGCAUUAGCGAGUUGGUAAGGUAACGGCUUACCAAGGCGACGAUGCGUAGCCGACCUGAGAGGGGGAUCGGCCACACUGGAACUGAGACACGGUCCAGACUCCUACGGGAGGCAGCAGUAGGGAAUCUUCCGCAAUUGGCGAAAGCUUGACGGAGCAACGCCGCGUGAGUGAUGAAGGUCUUCGGAUCUUAAAACUCUGUUAUUAGGGAAGAACAAAUGUGUAAGUAACUAUGCACGUCUUGACGGUACCUAAUCAGAAAGCCACGGCUAACUACGUG
rnacentral:rRNA from 1 species